CAGACUGUGACUUGAUGUGGCAGAAAGAGCCCCUGGUCAGCAGCAGGGACCUACUGCACACCAUGAGUAGACCUGGACUUACUCUCAGCUCUGCCUGUGAGAUUUUAGGCUGAGCUAGCCACAGAACUUCAUUCUAUAGCCAGUGGCCAUGCAUGUGGGAGAAAGUUCUUCCUUAUCUGUUCUCUCUACACCUCCUCCGACUGAAGAAAGAAAUGUUAAAAGGGGUGAGAAGUCCUUUUUAGCUCUGGACUGAGUUAUUCUGGGAACCAACCAUGCAUCACUGUGGGUGAUGUCCCACCGUUGGAACCAGCCCAAUGUAGAAGACUCCUUAUGCUGAAUCACAACUCUUCUGCUCUCAAAACUAUAAAAGAAACCACCAUAUCUCAGCACCCCUAGAACCUGCUUCUCUUUAUCCACAUAUGUCACUCAAUUUCGUGCUUAGUAAUAAACUGCAUUAAUUAUUA